ACGGGUAGUUAAUAUCUGGUGGCGACCGGCGGAUGGGUGCGUAACGCGUAUGCAACCUUCCUUAUGCAGGGGGAUAGCCCAUGGAAACGUGGAUUAAUACCCCAUAAUAUCACCUGAUCGCAUGUUUAGGUGAUUAAACGAAUUUUGGCAUAAGAUGGGCAUGCGUCUGAUUAGCUAGUUGGCAGGGUAACGGCCUGCCAAGGCUACGAUCAGUAGGGGUUCUGAGAGGAUUAUCCCCCACACUGGUACUGAGACACGGACCAGACUCC
rnacentral:rRNA from 1 species